rnacentral:rRNA from 1 species
UGGGGAAUAUUGCACAAUGGGCGCAAGCCUGAUGCAGCCAUGCCGCGUGUGUGAAGAAGGCCUUCGGGUCGUAAAGCACUUUCAGCGAGGAGGAAGGUGGUGAGCUUAAUACGCUCAUCAAUUGACGUUACUCGCAGAAGAAGCACCGGCUAACUCCGUGCCAGCAGCCGCGGUAAUACGGAGGGUGCAAGCGUUAAUCGGAAUUACUGGGCGUAAAGCGCACGCAGGCGGUUUGUUAAGUCAGAUGUGAAAUCCCCGGGCUCAACCUGGGAACUGCAUUUGAAACUGGCAAGCUAGAGUCUCGUAGAGGGGGGUAGAAUUCCAGGUGUAGCGGUGAAAUGCGUAGAGAUCUGGAGGAAUACCGGUGGCGAAGGCGGCCCCCUGGACGAAGACUGACGCUCAGGUGCGAAAGCGUGGGGCAGCAAACAGGAUUAGAUACCCUGGUAGUCCACGCUGUAAACGAUGUCGAUUUUGGAGGUUGUGCCCUUGAGGCGUGGCUUCCGGAGCUAACGCGUUAAAGUCGACCGCCUGGGGGAGUACGGCCGCAAGGUUAAAACUCAAAGGAAUU